ACCAAAGUUAUCAACAUUAACUUGCUCCAGCUGAUGGCUUUUCUUCAACAUCCACCAGGGCUACACAAGGGAACCUUCUCCCUACUGUCCUGGGGAAAAUAAAGCUGAAUGUCACCUUCUGCUUUCUCUUGCCUCUCCUCUUCAUAGCUCUCCUUUCAGUGCAGGUCUAACCUAAUUCUGCUUAGUUUGUAAAGCUUGACAAGAUCACCGCUCGAGGUGCUAAGUUUGUAAGUGCAAACAUGUCUAAGAGGGCAGCUCACCUUGCACUCGCUCUCUUGCAGCCUGAGGACAUCAGAUGUGGGUUCAUGAGGGCAGCUGUGGUAAAACAUUCCCUAGAUCCCUGCUGUAAGCUUGGGAAGAACAGACUGUGGAGAACAAAUCACAGGCCAGCUGGAAUAUAGGAACUGAGCAGAAGAGCCUCACCCAAUCCAGAUGAAGAUGUCAUUGCAAGGAUAUUCACAACAGAUUUUCACCACCAGUGGCAACAAGAAACUCCAUCUGUUUGAAAGAUUUGACUCCUCACAUCUGCUCUCCUGGGCCAAGAUCCCAAUAAACUGUUCUUCUCUUCAAGAAACAGUGUCCAUGAGUGUCUGUGUAAUGUCCAUGAGUGUAUGUGAACAGAGGUGCUACAAAAAUGUUAAGUAUCCAGAAGGGUCGAUCCAUGGGCAUAACACACUGGGCUCUCAAAGCUGAUAGUG